CAGGCAAGCAAGUCCCUGGAGCUGCAGGGCGAGUUGGCAAGCUGGAGACCCAGGAGAGCUGACCAUACAGUUCCAAUCUGAAGGUGGCAGGCUCUACACCCAGAAAGAGUGCACUGUGGUGAAAGAACAUGACCUACUGUCCUCAUUCCUUUGGAAUUUGUGAUUUCCUUUGUGGCCCAAUAAAUUGUCAAAUGUGUAAAUGUUCUGGGUGGGCUUAUAAAAAAUAUGUAUUCUUUGUUGGGUAAAGAUUUUUUCUAAAUAUCUAUUAUUAUUUCUAAAUGCAAUGUAAAUUUAUUGUUUGGAAAAGAGGAGGAAGAGUCUACAUCUCAGGAAUCUAGUCUUAUCAGAAAGGGAAGAAGGAUUGCAGAAGCAGAACUUGAAUAAUAUCCUGGGAAACCAAGGGAGUUAAUGGUUUGCAGUGUGUGUGUGUGUGUGUGUGUGUGUGUGCGCGUGUGUUGUGAAAGAGAAACAGAGAGGAGGCUUCCAUAGACGGCAGCUUACCUCUGUGAUUGCCCUUCUCACACACUAUAUUGCAGUUAUCUGUUUGCUGGUUUGAUGCACAAAGCCAUGAGCUCCUUAAGGGACAGCCGAAGGAUGGAGCCUUUGGUUCUGUCUUCUCAUUACCUAUGGCUCUCAGUGAGCAUCUCCAGGACUCAAACACAGCAGGCAGUAAAUGAACGGGAAGUGGAAUGAAUGUAAGGCCUUUGGUCAGCUGGUAUAGAUGUACCAGGUAUGAUUGUGCUGCUUGGUAAAAUAUUCAGCUGCUGCCCUGAGAUUUGAGUGCUGCUUUGCCACCCAGUGCCUUGACCUCUCCCCAAGAUCCCCUAAGCCUUAUUGUGAUUUAGUGAGUGAAAGUGUUGAGGCUUGGUCUAGCAAGAAACCUCCAGGACUCUGCUCCAGAAAUAUAGAUAUUUAUUCUGAUUGUUUGGUGCCCAUGGCAUGCCAGUUGUUAAAUAUUUUUUUCUAUAAUUUCUGACUGAAGAAAUGGAGAAGUGAAUGGAUGAAUGGGCUUGCUUUCCUUCCACUCCUUUUUUGCUGAGUUGUGUGAUGUGUUCUCUCUGCCAUCCUUCUCCCAGGCUUCACUUUGGCCCCGGUUACUUCCAUCUAAAAACAGACCCAGUGUCUCUCAGCCUUUUGAGUGGCUCUCCUUUGGACCUUGUAAUUACAAGGUUACAGCCUACAUAUGGUGUUACUGCCUAGAUACUUCUAGGUCAAGUGAUCUAUCUUGGAUUCUGCAUGUUGCGUCUAUUCAUGAACAGGUGAGAUGUUUGAAAUGGAGCAUGUAUUGUUCUAUACAUCUACCCUUUAAUCCAGAAACAAAGGGCUCGAAAUAGUGCUCUUAAUUUAAAUUGCAGGGCCCAUGUCAUUCUCUUCUCUCAAUUGCAAAUUAAACAUUUAAAUAGUA